rnacentral:rRNA from 1 species
GAUGAACGCUGGCGGCGUGCCUAAUACAUGCAAGUCGAGCGAACGGACGAGAAGCUUGCUUCUCUGAUGUUAGCGGCGGACGGGUGAGUGACACGUGGAUAACCUACCUAUAAGACUGGGAUAACUUCGGGAAACCGGAGCUAAUACCAGAUAAUAUUUUGAACCGCAUGGUUCAAAAGUGAAAGACGGUCUUGCUGUCACUUAGAGAUGGAUCCGCGCUGCAUUAGCUAGUGGGUAAGGUAACGGCUUACCAAGGCAACGAUGCAUAGCCGACCUGAGAGGGUGAUCGGCCACACUGGAACUGAGACACGGUCCAGACUCCUACGGGAGGCAGCAGUAGGGAAUCUUCCGCAAUGGGCGAAAGCCUGACGGAGCAAUGCCGCGUGAGUGAUGAAGGUCUUCGGAUCGUAAAACUCUGUUAUUAGGGAAGAACAUAUGUGUAAGUAACUGUGCACAUCUUGACGGUACCUAAUCAGAAAGCAACGGCUAACUACGUG